GACGAACGCUGGCGGCGUGCUUAACACAUGCAAGUCGAGCGGUAAGGCCCUUUCGGGGGUACACGAGCGGCGAACGGGUGAGUAACACGUGGGUGACCUGCCCUCAGCUCUGGGAUAAGCCUGGGAAACUGGGUCUAAUACCGGAUAUGACUCCAUGACGCAUGUUGUGGGGUGGAAAGCCUUGUGCGGCUGAGGAUGGGCCCGCGGCCUAUCAGCUUGUUGGUGGGGUGANGGCCUACCAAGGCGACGACGGGUAGCCGGCCUGAGAGGGCGACCGGGCCACACUGGGACUGAGACACGGCCCAGACUCCUACGGGAGGCAGCAGUGGGGAAUCUUGCGCAAUGGGCGAAAGCCUGACGCAGCGACGCCGCGUGAGGGAUGACGGCCU
rnacentral:rRNA from 1 species